rnacentral:rRNA from 1 species
UACGAAGGGGGCUAGCGUUGCUCGGAAUUACUGGGCGUAAAGGGAGCGUAGGCGGAUAGUUUAGUCAGAGGUGAAAGCCCAGAGCUCAACUCUGGAAUUGCCUUUUAGACUGCAUCGCUUGAAUCAUGGAGAGGUCAGUGGAAUUCCGAGUGUAGAGGUGAAAUUCGUAGAUAUUCGGAAGAACACCAGUGGCGAAGGCGACAUACUGGCUCAUUACUGACGCUGAGGCUCGAAAGCGUGGGGAGCAAACAGG